rnacentral:rRNA from 1 species
GAUGAACGCUGGCGGCGUGCCUAAUACAUGCAAGUCGAGCGAACAGACGAGAAGCUUGCUUCUCUGAUGUUAGCGGCGGACGGGUGAGUAACACGUGGAUAACCUACCUAUAAGACUGGGAUAACUUCGGGAAACCGGAGCUAAUACCGGAUAAUAUUUUGAACCGCAUGGUUCAAAAGUGAAAGACGGUCUUGCUGUCACUUAUAGAUGGAUCCGCGCUGCAUUAGCUAGUUGGUAAGGUAACGGCUUACCAAGGCAACGAUGCAUAGCCGACCUGAGAGGGUGAUCGGCCACACUGGAACUGAGACACGGUCCAGACUCCUACGGGAGGCAGCAGUAGGGAAUCUUCCGCAAUGGGCGAAAGCCUGACGGAGCAAUGCCGCGUGAGUGAUGAAGGUCUUCGGAUCGUAAAACUCUGUUAUUAGGGAAGAACAUAUGUGUAAGUAACUGUGCACAUCUUGACGGUACCUAAUCAGAAAGCCACGGCUAACUACGUG